GCAUAAUCAAUAAGCGGAGGAAAAGAAACCAACAGGGAUGCCUCACUAACGGCGAGUGAAGCGGCAAAAGCUCAAAUUUGAAACCGUUCGCGGGUUGUAAUUUGUAGAAUAUCUUGUGACAUUGGCGUAAGUACCUUGGAACAGGUCGUCAUAGAGGGUGAGAAUCCCGUUGCCUAGUCGUUAUACUUGAUAUUCCAAGAGUCGAGUUGUUUGGGAAUGCAGCUCUAAGUGGGUGGUAAAAUCCAUCUAAAGCUAAAUAUUGGCGAGAGACCGAUAGCGAACAAGUACAGUGAUGGAAAGAUGAAAAGAACUUUGAAAAGAGAGUGAAAAAGUACGUGAAAUUGUUGAAAGGGAAGGGUAUGCUGGGAGUCUCUGAGUUGUUGUUCAGCGUUCUUUCGGGGACGUGCAUUCAGCCUCUCUCUGGAGCCGCGGCGGUUCGUGUGUGGAUAAAGCUGUUUCCUUCGGGUUUCAUCAAUACAUAUACUUGCCGUCCCGUCUCCGUAAUCCCAACAUGCCACCCGUCUUGAAACACGGNACCA
rnacentral:rRNA from 1 species